rnacentral:rRNA from 1 species
GAUGAACGCUGGCGGCGUGCCUAAUACAUGCAAGUAGAACGCUGACGGAGGCGUUUGCCUUUCUGGAUGAGUUGCGAAGGGGUGUGUUACGCGUAGGUAACCUGCCUGGUAGGGGGGGAUAACUAUGGGACACGAUAGCUAAUACCGCCUGACAACAGUUAUUGCAUGAUAACUGUAUAAAAGGGGCAACUGCUCCACUACCAGAUGGACCUGCGUUGUAUUAGCUAGUUGGUGAGGUAACGGCUCACCAAGGCGACGAUACAUAGCCGACCUGAGAGGGGGAUCGGCCACACUGGGACUGAGACACGGCCCAAACUCCUACGGGAAGGAGCAGGAGGGAAACUUCGGCAAUGGACGGAAGUCUGAACGAACAACGCCGCGUGGGUGAAGAAGGUUUUCGGAUCGUAAAACUCUUUUUUAAGGGAAAAACGAGUUUGGGAGUAGAAAGUUCGCACGAUGACGGUAUCUUACCAGAAAGGAACGGCUAACUACGUG